rnacentral:rRNA from 1 species
CCUACGGGGGGCAGCAGUGGGGAAUUUUGCGCAAUGCUCGUAAGAGUGACGCAGCGACGCCGCGUGAAUGACGAAGGCCUUCGGGUCGUAAAGUUCUUUCGACAGGGAAGAAAAUGCCUAUAAGUAACUGUGUCUGUAUUGACGGUACCUGUAUAAGCAGCCCCGGCUAACUCCGUGCCAGCGGCCUCGGUAAUACGGGGGGGGCGAGCGUUGUUCGGAGUGACUGGGCGUAAAGAGCACGUAGGCGGUGUUGUAAGUCAGUAGUCAAAGAUUAGAGCUCAACUUUAGUAAGGCUAGUGAUACUAUAAUACUAGAGUAUCAGAGAGGAUUGCAGAAUUCCUGGUGUAGCGGUGAAAUGCGUAGAUAUCAGGAGGAAUACCGUUAGCGAAGGCGGCAAUCUGGCUGGAAACUGACGCUGAGGUGCGAAAGCGUGGGUAGCAAACAGGAUUAGAUACCCGGGUAGUC